rnacentral:rRNA from 1 species
CGUGUAGGCGGCUCGGAUAGUUGGAUGUGAAAGCUCCUGGCUUAACUGGGAGAGGUCGUUCAAUACUUCCGGGCUCGAGAGUGGUAGAGGGAGGUGGAAUUCCGAGUGUAGUGGUGAAAUGCGUAGAUAUUCGGAGGAACACCAGUGGCGAAAGCGACCUCCUGGACCAUUUCUGACGCUCAGACGCGAAAGCUAGGGUAGCAAACG